rnacentral:rRNA from 1 species
AGUGAACGCUGGCGGUAGGCCUAACACAUGCAAGUCGAACGGCAGCGCAGUAAGAGCUUGCUCUUACGGGUGGCGAGUGGCGGACGAGUGAGGAAUACAUCGGAAUCUACUUUUUCGUGGGGGAUAACGUAGGGAAACUUACGCUAAUACCGCAUACGACCUACGGGUGAAAGCAGGGGAUCUUCGGACCUUGCGCGAUUGAAUGAGCCGAUGUCGGAUUAGCUAGUUGGCGGGGUAAAGGCCCACCAAGGCGACGAUCCGUAGCUGGUCUGAGAGGAUGAUCAGCCACACUGGAACUGAGACACGGUCCAGACUCCUACGGGAGGCAGCAGUGGGGAAUAUUGGACAAUGGGCGCAAGCCUGAUCCAGCCAUACCGCGUGGGUGAAGAAGGCCUUCGGGUUGUAAAGCCCUUUUGUUGGGAAAGAAAAGCAGCAGGUUAAUACCCCGCUGUUCUGACGGUACCCAAAGAAUAAGCACCGGCUAACUUCGUG